rnacentral:rRNA from 1 species
AUUGAACGCUGGCGGCAGGCCCAACACAUGCAAGUCGAACGAGUGGCGGACGGGUGAGUAAUGUCUGGGAAACUGCCCGAUGGAGGGGGAUAACUACUGGAAACGGUAGCUAAUACCGCAUACCAUCGGAUGUGCCCAGAUGGGUUUAGCUAGUAGGUGGGGUAACGGCUCACCUGGGCGACGAUCCCUAGCUGUGCUGAGAGGAUGACCAACCCCACUGGAUCUAUAACACGGUCCAGACUCCUACGGAAGGCAGCGAAGGGAAUUAUUGCACAAUGGGCGCAGGCCUGAUGCAGCCAUACCGCGUUUAUGAAGAAGGCCUUCGGAUUGUAGAGUACUUUCAGCGAGGAGGCGUUACUCGCAGAAGAAGCACCGGCUAACUCCGUGCCUACCGCCGCGGUAAUAC